CUGAAAUGAAAAGUAAAAAGAGUCAAGUGGUCAAGAGAACUCAAGGGUCGUUACUGGUCAGUGAGCACAUCGAGCAGGACGGAGCUGCUUUGUCUAUAUAUCACUUUACACUGACACAACACCCAUUAUGUUUUUCUACAACGGGUCUGUCCUUUUCUUCUGGGCAUUUCUGAAUAAUAAAUUGCUAACAGACUUUUCAGAUAAUAAUCUUUUCCCCUGUAUGUAUUCUUCGAAGACUGAAGCUUAUGAUGCAUUUCUGAAGAAGCAUGUACGUUCAGACGCCCCAGACACCCUUGACCAAAACCGGUGGAAAGCUUUUAUUAAACAAAUAGGGACAUGCUCUCGACCAAUUCAGUCUUUUAUCCCGUACUCCCAGAAACAACAAGUGGACAACAUCUGCUCUCCCUCAGGAGGUAAAACAUACAUGAAUAACCUGUGUGUCAGCAAAGAGCAGUUCAAAUUCACUACCGUGUUUGUGGGCAACAACUGUGACAUAACAUGUGUCAUACGGGAGAAGAAGUAUCUUUUAUUGGCUUGUGAUGAGAUCCAGAAUUACUGCCGUCCAGUGCAUUUUGAAUUCAAUAAAAACAAUGAUGGACCAGAUGACAAAAAUCCAGACUGUAAAAAUCCCAAAACUCAAAACCAG